GCAAGUAAAGCUUUAAUUAGAAGCUGUAAUUUUGUAAAUUACUGAUCGUUUAUUAACGUAUUUGCU
rnacentral:tRNA from 1 species